rnacentral:rRNA from 1 species
CCCUUAGAUGUUCUGGGCAGCACGCGCGCUACACUGAUGCAUUCAACGAGUCUAAAACCUGCUCUGAUAGGGGUGGGUAAUCUUUUGAAUGUGCAUCGUGAUUGGGAUAGAUGAUUGCAAUUUUUCAUCUUCAACGAGGAAUGCCUAGUAAACGCAAGUCAUCAGCUUGCAUUGAUUACGUCCCUGCCCUUUGUACACACCGCCCGUCGCUCCUACCGAUUGAAUGAUCCGAUGAAUAUCAUGGAUUGAGGAUGCAAGCAGGUUCGCCUGUCUUCAUCUUCGAGAAGUGAAGUAAAUCUUAUCAUUUAGAGGAAGGAGAAGUCGUAACA